rnacentral:rRNA from 1 species
GAUGAACGCUGGCGGCGUGCCUAAUACAUGCAAGUCGAGCGAACAGACGAGGAGCUUGCUCCUCUGACGUUAGCGGCGGACGGGUGAGUAACACGUGGAUAACCUACCUAUAAGACUGGGAUAACUUCGGGAAACCGGAGCUAAUACCGGAUAAUAUAUUGAACCGCAUGGUUCAAUAGUGAAAGACGGUUUUGCUGUCACUUAUAGAUGGAUCCGCGCCGCAUUAGCUAGUUGGUACGGUAACGGCUUACCAAGGCAACGAUGCGUAGCCGACCUGAGAGGGGGAUAGGCGACACUGGAGCUGAGACACGGUCCAGACUCCUACGGGAGGCAGCAGUAGGGAAUCUUCCGCAAUGGGCGAAAGCCUGACGGAGCAACGCCGCGUGAGUGAUGAAGGUCUUCGGAUCGUAAAACUCUGUUAUUAGGGAAGAACAAAUGUGUAAGUAACUAUGCACGUCUUGACGGUACCUAAUCAGAAAGCCACGGCUAACUACGUG